AUGAGCGCCGUGUGCUUUUUGUUGGCGUGCUUGGCGGCAGCCAUGCGGCCGACGUCGGCCGCCGAGGCUGGAAGGGAUGGGAUCUUGCAUAUCCCUUUCGCCGCCGACCUGGCUCGGGCUCGCUGCCCUUCCAGAUGCGGGCAUGUUAACAUUUACUACCCAUGGGGGAUAGGGCCGGGCUGCUUCCGGCAAGGCUUCGAGCUCACGUGCAACAACACCACUAGUCAUAAGAAGCUCUUUCUGGCCAAAACUACCACUGAGGUCCUUGCCCUGUAUCCCGAAGACAAUAUGAUCUAUUCCCCUGUUAUCCACUUCAACGUCACCAUGGCACCAGGUAUGAAUGACACCUAUGAUAUGUCAUGGGAGGCACCUGUUAAAGGUCUUAUGGCGUCUGAAGAAACAGGCUUGUUCGUUGUUGGCUGUGGUGUGGGUGUCUACUUGUUCGGCCAUGAUACCAACAAGCCCAUAGGUUCUUGCACGAGUAUUUGCAUAGACAACAAAGAGGCCAUGAAGGAGUCAAAUGCAAACCAGUUCGAUAGCGAUGGUGGGAUGGGAUACUGUUCCAUCCGUUUGCAGCACGACGUGCGAGCCUUUGGGUUCAUAGUUGGGCGCCUCAAUGGUGGCUUCUCAGCACUAUCAAGUCGAGGUCAAGGGCUCUCUAAUAGCAGUAUCAAAGUUUUCUUGGCCGAAGAUUACAAAUUUCAUAUGGUUGACAUCUAUUCAAGUAGGAUAGACGAACGGAAUGUUGACGGGGUAUAUUUUAGCAUGGCCAUCACGGAUCAACCAAACUGUGAAAGUGCUCAGAAGAACAAGUCAAGCUAUGCUUGUAGCGAUAACAGUGAUUGCCAGGGUCUGUCAUCUGGAGGCUACUCCUGUCGCUGCCGCGGUUACCCAUAUGACGAGAAUCCAUACAUCAUGGACGGCUGUCAAGCAAGUUACACUCCCAAUCCUAAAGGAGGUUGCAAGAGGUUUUGCGGGGACACAAACAUUCCCUUUCCUUUUGGGCUUGAAAAAGGUUGCUACGCUGCCGAAAAGUUUCGUCUUAAUUGUACAUCAGAAAACAUCACAAUUCUUGAUCGAAAUGCCAAAUACAUUGUGGCCAACAUUUCAGUUAAUGAAGGAUAUCUUACUGUUAGAGAAAUACAAAACAACUCAAGGUACGGCGAUGAAGAUCUUGCGGUAGUAGGUUAUACAAAUGAUGGGCACAUGGAACUAGAAGACAUCGUCGGUCAAUAUGGUUUUUAUUUGUCUGAAGAAUACGACAUGAAGAUGUGGUGGUCUGUCGAUAAUUUAACCUGUCCGGUUGAUAUGAGCAAGCAAAGAAGUGCUACGUACGCAUGCCGCAGUGUCAAUAGCACCUGCAUUCAUGUCACCCGCCGCCGUGGGAAUGGGACGAUGCAGCUCGGUUAUCGUUGCCAGUGCUUGCCCAAUUAUGAGGGAAAUCCAUACACACCGGAUGGUUGCACAGAUAUCAACGAGUGUUUGUUGAUCAAUACUUGCAAUGGCACAUGCCAAAAUUAUCCCGGGGGCUAUAGUUGCGAAAACUGCACUCAUGGAAAAGACUUUGAUCCAAUAAAAAGGAGAUGUGUCACAUCAGCAAAGAGACGCAGUCUUCUCUUAGGUAUUACAAUUGGAAUUGGUUGUGGCCUUGGUGCCAUAAUACUUGCGCUAGGUAUAAUGGCUUUCAUCAGCAAGUGGAAGAGAGGCAUACAGAAGAGAAUACGAAGAGCAUACUUCAAGAAAAAUCAAGGCCUACUCUUGGAACAACUAAUAUCAGAUGAAAGUGCCACCGAUAAAAUGAAGAUAUUCUCCUUGGAGGAAUUAAAUAAAGCAACCAAUAACCUUGAUGUCAGUCGUGUUCUUGGCCGUGGAGGACAUGGCACCGUUUACAAAGGAAUUCUAUCUGAUCAACGUGUAGUGGCUAUCAAAAAGUCAAAGCUAGUGGAGCAAACUGAGAUUGACCAGUUUAUCAACGAGGUUGCCAUCUUAUCACAGAUCAUUCACCGAAAUGUGGUCAAGCUUUUCGGUUGUUGUCUCGAAACAGAGGUGCCUUUGUUGGUCUAUGAGUUCAUAUCCAAUGGCACACUAUAUGAUCUUCUUCACACUGAUGUAAGUGCUAAAUGCUUACUUUUAUGGGAUGAUCGUAUUAGGAUUGCAACAGAAGCUGCAGGUGCUCUUUCUUAUCUCCACUCAGCUGCUGCAAUACCAAUUUUCCAUAGAGAUGUCAAAUCUUCCAAUAUACUCCUAGAUGGCAACUUCGCUACCAAGGUUUCUGACUUUGGUGCUUCGAGGUCUUUAUCACUUGAUCAGACACAUGUAGUGACAAUUGUACAAGGAACUUUUGGUUACUUAGACCCCGAGUACUACCACACCGGGGAGCUGAGUGAGAAGAGCGAUGUUUAUAGCUUUGGAAUUAUACUGGUGGAGCUUCUAAUGAGAAAGAAGCCAAUUUUUAUUAAUGAACAAGGUAUAAAACAAAGCUUGGCUCAUUGCUUUGUGGAAGGACUUCAGCAAGGAGUUCUCAUGGAAAUCAUGGAUCCCCAAGUUGCAGAAGAAGCGAACCAGAAUGAAAUUGAUGAAAUUGCCUCAGUUGCGGAAGCAUGCUUGAAAACCAAAGGAAGAGAAAGGCCUACCAUGAAAGAGGUAGAAAUGAAGUUGCAACUCCUAAAAACUAGAAGAUUAAGGAGUCAACUUCCUCCCAUAAAUGAUGGAGAGAUCGAGUCACUUGGGUGCCUAAAUGGCGCUAGCUCUCAUGCACAGAGCAACAGCAUUGUCAGUAAUGUUGGCUUAACACCUACAUGCAGCUCCGGAAAGUACAGUCUGGAGCAAGAGUUUUUGAACUCGGCCAGCUUUCCACGCUAG
rnacentral:rRNA from 1 species